rnacentral:lncRNA from 1 species
GAUUUCUAAGGCAGGUUUCUCAUGAUUGUGGAACCUGCAAACUUCUCCAGUUUUACCAUCACUUCCAGAGCCCAUGGCAUGCUGUUUGAAUGUCUGCUGCUACUCCAGGUGCCUCUCUGCAGAAAAGUCGUUCUAAGCUGCUUAUGGAGUUCUCAAUUUCGCAUGAUUGAGGGAUUACGCACCAGAGGUGCAGACCUCUUCUUGGGUUGCCCUCAUCCAGAUUUCACAGAGAUAAUACACCAGGAUCAGAGGUUGAACAGGAGCAGCGUCCACUUUUUCUCAUGGAAACAGAGAGACACCAAGCAGCUCAUUUCUCUUAUUAGUUUUUUGACUUUGUGUCUGUACCGGUGUGUGUGUGUGUGCAUAAAGUCCUGAAGCAUGUAACCUUUUAAAAAAUUUAGCCUAGGAUGGCUUCAAUC